UACGAAGGGUGCAAGCGUUACUCGGAAUCACUGGGCGUAAAGCGCACGUAGGCGGACUUACAGGUCAAUUGUGAAAUACCUGAGCUCAACUCAGGAACUGCAGUUGAAACCGUUUGUCUUGAAUACCUGAGAGGGUGGGGGAAUACCUGGUGGAGAAGUGAAAUUCGUAGAGAUCAGGUGGAACACCGGAGGCGAAGGCGCCUGACUGGCAGUGUAUUGACGCUGAGGUGCGAAAGUGCGGGGAGCAAACAGG
rnacentral:rRNA from 1 species